rnacentral:rRNA from 1 species
AGGACGAACGCUGGCGGCGUGCUUAACACAUGCAAGUCGAGCGGAAAGGCCCUUCGGGGUACUCGAGCGGCGAACGGGUGAGUAACACGUGAGCAAUCUGCCCUUAGCUUCGGGAUAGCCCCGGGAAACCGGGAUUAAUACCGAAUAUGACCUCGGCCGACAUCGGCUUUGGUGGAAAGUUUUUCGGCUAGGGAUGGACUCGCGGCCUAUCAGCUAGUUGGUGAGGUAACGGCCCACCAAGGCGACGACGGGUAGCCGGCCUGAGAGGGCGACCGGCCACACUGGGACUGAGACACGGCCCAGACUCCUACGGGAGGCAGCAGUGGGAAUAUUGCGCAAUGGGCGAAAGCCUGACGCAGCGACGCCGCGUGGGGGAUGAAUGCCUUCGGGUUGUAAACCCCUUUCAGCAGGGACGAAGCGAAAGUGACGGUACCUGCAGAAGAAGCGCCGGCUAACUACGCGCCAGCAGCCGC